rnacentral:rRNA from 1 species
GUGAGGAAUUUUCCGCAAUGGGCGAAAGCCUGACGGAGCAAUGCCGCGUGAAGGAUGAAGGCCUAUGGGUUGUAAACUUCUUUUCUUAGAGAAGAAUAUUGACGGUAUCUGAGGAAUAAGCAUCGGCUAACUCUGUGCCAGCAGCCGCGGUAAUACGGAGGGUGCAAGCGUUAUCCGGAUUCACUGGGUUUAAAGGGUGCGUAGGCGGUUUUAUAAGUCAGUGGUGAAAUCAACGGGCUCAACCUGUUAACUGCCAUUGAUACUGUAGGACUUGAAUAUGAGAGAGGUAGGCGGAAUGUUGCAUGUAGCGGUGAAAUGCUUAGAUAUGCUACGGAACACCGAUUGCGAAGGCAGCUUACUAUUUCAUGAUUGACGCUGAGGCACGAAAGCGUGGGUAGCGAACAGGAUUAGAUACCCGAGUAGUCC